GAUGAACGCUGGCGGCGUGCCUAACACAUGCAAGUCGAACGGAGUCCAGCCUUUAAGACCUUCGGGUCAAAGAGGGGAAGACUGAGUGGCGGACGGGUGAGUAACACGUGGGCAACCUGGCUCAUAGAGGGGGAUAACAGAGAGAAAUCUCUGCUAAUACCGCAUAAGCACACACUGCCGCAUGGCAGAGGGUGAAAAGAGAAUCGCUAUGAGAUGGACCCGCGUCUGAUUAGCCAGUUGGCAGGGUAAGAGCCUACCAAAGCGACGAUCAGUAGCCGAUCUGAGAGGAUGAACGGCCACAUUGAGACUGAGACACGGCCCAAACUCCUACGGGAGGCAGCAGUGGGGGAUAUUGCACAAUGGGGGGAACCCUGAUGCAGCGACGCCGCGUGAGUGAAGAAGUAUUUCGGUAUGUAAAGCUCUAUCAGCAGGGAAGAUAAUGACAGUACCUGAAUAAGAAGCCCCGGCUAACUACGUG
rnacentral:rRNA from 1 species